ACAUCCGUAGCUUGUUUUGUAAGUCUUUUGUGAAAUCGGGCCUCUUAAGGGUCCGGCGUGCAAAAGAUACUGCAGAACUUGAGACCGGGAGACGCAGAGAGUACGACAAGGGGAGCGGUAAAAUGUGUUGAUCCUUAUCGGACUAACAACAGCGAAGGCACUCUGCGAGAACGGAUCUGACAGUGAGGGAUGAAGGCUAGGGGCGCAAAGUGGAUUAGAUACCCAUGUAGUCCUAGCAGUAAACACUGCACACUAAACAUUGGGGCCUCCUCGAGAGGUUUCAGUGCUGUAGCGAAGGCGGGGAGUGUGCUACCUGGGGAGUAUAGUCGCAAGACCGAAACUUAAAGGAAUUGGCGGGGGAGCACAAGC
rnacentral:rRNA from 1 species